rnacentral:tRNA from 1 species
AGGCACGUAGCUCAGUUGGUUAGAGCGCUUGCUUGACAGGCAAGAGGUCAACAGUUCAAGUCUGUUCGUGCCUACCA